rnacentral:lncRNA from 1 species
GUUCCCCGGCUUUGCCGCGCGGAGGAAGUCCCGGUUACGCAGAGCGCGCUGGGGCAGGGCUGACCUUCCCCUUUCUCUACUUCACUGGCCUCCUCCAGACGUGGUGGUUGCGCCCUUUCGGCCUCGCUUUCCGUUUUUUGGCUUCAUCCCCUAGAUCUGCAAACAGUUCCUCGUGUUUCUUCCGUUAGCCGGGAAACGCGAACUGCAGCGUUUGGGACCCGGGUUUGCGCGUGUGGAAAGCAAAAGGGGUUACUCUGCUGGAGUUCGACAUUGCAAAUAAAGGUCUUUAUCCCCGGCGGUUCUACAAAAUUAGUUCUGCAGGGAUUCUGGUUGAAAGAAGCGUUAAAGUGGGCCUUGUAGGAGUCAGCAAUAAUCCAAUUUUACAUGGGUGCAGGUGGCUGCCUGUGUCUAGCGCUUUCACACAUCUCAUAUCUUCAUCCACGCCGUGGGUAUUUUUUUUCCACGGUGUGUUUCUGUUGCUGCCUCCAGUAUAUUGCUUAAUCAUCCUACCUGGUAAUUAUUUAUGCAUUUUUCUCCUACUCUCGACUCAGCUCCUAGGGAAUAAAAACACAUUAACUUAUCUUUGUGCCCACAGCACCCACCAAGUAUUUCCAUCACGUAAUACUGCCUCUAGAAAGGCAGGAGGAGAAGCAGUCACGCUAAGGAUCUAGGCAAGCCAGAUCUUUUGUCCGGUUUUAGGAGGUGGCCAGCCCUUACUUAUUCCACAAGUGUUUUUCCAGAAACUCAGACUUGAUAUUGCCUCAAGUCCAAGGCAGUGUGCUUCCCCCACUCACAUAUCACUAAUAGUAGCUAACAUUUGUUCAGAUCCCUGUAUGUACUCUGCCACUGUUUUAAAUGUUACACCCGGGUUACCUCAUUUAAUCCUUACAACUGCCCUGUGAGGUAGGUACUAUUAUUAUCUCUACUUUGUAGAUGGGAUUCACCGAGGCACAGACGGUUAAAAAACCUAGCCCAAAUAACACAAAUAAACAGCAGAGCAUGCAGUGCUAGAGUCUGCAUUCUUAACAAUUGCUAUAUUCUCCCUCUCCGUGAAUGUGGGCUGAGAUGCUGAAACAGGCAUGUGCUGUGGGGGAGAAAAAGCUUUGUCCAACCAAGUGCUUUCUAAUGUCCAGAUGACAUAGAGCUAGGAUUUCCUAAUGUCUUUUUUCCCCUAUUUUUCUCUCCAUUUCAGGGUUGAGUUUGUGCAUCGAUUGUGAACACAACAGGCAGCAGGCUAUAAUGGUGGUCCUGGCUGGAGUAGUUUUCACAGACUUCAGUAAUCUGUGGAGAUGAACGGGCAGUUCUCUGUAGUUUUCACAGAUCACUGCCAGUUCGUUUUGAGGCCUUCAGGAGUGAAGACCUGGCUCAUCAUCACUCUUUGUUGUUUUGUUAAAUUUAUUUACACCCUACUUUAUUCCAGAGGAAAGGAUUUAACGUAGUUUACAUAAAUGUGUACAUCAGGGUAAAUUAAAAAUAAGUACAGAGAAAAAUAGGACAAAAGAAAACCGUGAGUGUGAAAGAUAAGAUUAAGCCAGCAGUUUUGUAUGCAAAAUGCAUGGUGUAAGGUCCUAUUGGUUUGCUGGAGGUAGGCCACACAUAUGACUCUCAGUUUUCUAGCAACCAAGAAAAAGAUCAGUUGCAAUCGGAGUAGGUGUUUUGGCUAAGCUGGAACUAGGACUUGAAUAUAGCAGCUUGUAGAGUUAUACCACUUGCCCAAAUCUCUUCCAUGAGCCUCUUUAAGUGUAACAGAAUGCCUGGGAGCACGUAAAUGCUCCUACUUAGAUGCCUACUUAGCCUCUAAUUUUCAUGGGGCCCAUGAAUCCCAUGAAAAAGAACUUUGAACCCUGUCCACAAUUAGAGUUCAGGUAUACGCAGACAUGUUUAAAGACAAGGGACACCCAAAGGAAAGAUUGCACAGAGAGAAAGUGAGCAUCCGAGAGAAAAUCACCACAAGUGAGGCAGAGGGAGGCCGGUCUCAGCAGAGUUUUGGAGGUCGUGAGAAGAAGAGGUAGGAGAUAGGAGAGUGGUUCCGAGUACUUGCCUGCUGAUGUUACCUUCUCCACCCCCACCAGGUUUUCCAGUGCCUGGAGUCUUGGGCAGGAAUGGGCCACUGUAAGAAAGAGCUUUAUCACUAGGGCCUCAGCCAACUUUUCUGUGGGAUAUCCCUCCAAAAUAAUUAAGAGUUCAGAAUGCUUCAGAUUUUGAAGUGAAACUGGUACAUAUAUUAAGUGUUACUUAAUAACCCGAUAGUUUCUAGGGCAGCUCACCAUAAUCCCAAGUAUUAGCCACCACCCUCACCCCCUUCAGAGUAAAAUGUGUUUCCUGAAGGAAGUUGGGAAAAUGAAGAAAAAAAAUACAAAAAUCACCUAUAAUCUUACCAGUCAUAGAUGGCAGUUUUCCUGUCUUAUUUCUGAAUAAUGGUUGUUAAACAUUUGCCAGCACACCAUAAGGCUUAGGGAGGCAUCUGGGUCAUGCAUGUUAAUAUCCUUGGGUAAUUCCAGAAAUCUCUAUGAAGGGAAACUCCUGUUAUUUAUCUAGACUUCCUGAUUGCAAGGGGUUUGGGCAUCAUGAUUUAGGGGUCUUAAUAAAAUUAUUAUUUUAUUUUUACUAAUAGAUAAUGUCUGUGCCUAUCAGAUAAAGGCAAACCAGUGCUCAGAGGAACCCAACCAUCUCUGAAUUGAGACCAGAGAGCUGUCUCUAUGGAUAGUCCUUAGAGAAGGCAUUUCGGAACACAGUAAACAGCAGCCUGGUGACUCCGAUUACAGGGCCAGUUGCCUUUGUUACAAUAAAAGCAAGUCAUCUACACAGAUUUUUCCUACCAGGAAGAGCAUGUGCUGACCAACAGACAUGAAUUUCAGCCUGGUAGUUACAACAUUCACAGACAGGAGUUUCACUCGUUGCCCAGGCUGGAGUGCAAC